AUUGAACGCUGGCGGCAUGCCUUACACAUGCAAGUCGAACGGAGUGGCGAACGGGUGAGUAAUGUAUCUGAACGUGCCCAGUAGCGGGGGAUAACUACGGGAACGCGUAGCUAAUACCGCCUACUAUUGGAUCGGCCUCUAUCGGAUUAGCUAGUUGGUGGGGUAAAGGCUCACCAAGGCGACGAUCCGUAGCUGGUUUGAGAGGACGACCAGCCACACUGGGACUGAGACACGGCCCAGACUCCUACGGGAGGCAGCAGUGGGGAAUUUUGGACAAGGGGCGAAAGCCUGAGCCAGCCAUGCCGCGUGUGUGAUGAAGGCCUUCGGGUUGUAAAGCACUUUUGGUAGGAAAGCGUUACCGGCAGAAUAAGCACCGGCUAACUACGUGCCAGCAGCCGCGGUAAUAC
rnacentral:rRNA from 1 species